UGAAUUCGCCCUUGUGCCAGCAGCCGCGGUGAUACGUAGGGUGCAAGCGUUAAUCGGAAUUACUGGGCGUAAAGCGUGUGUAGGCGGUUCGGAAAGAAAGAUGUGAAAUCCCAGGGCUCAACCUUGGAACUGCAUUUUUAACUGCCGAGCUAGAGUAUGUCAGAGGGGGGUAGAAUUCCACGUGUAGCAGUGAAAUGCGUAGAUAUGUGGAGGAAUACCGAUGGCGAAGGCAGCCCCCUGGGAUAAUACUGACGCUCAGACACGAAAGCGUGGGGAGCAAACAGGAUUAGAUACCCUGGUAGUCCACGCCCUAAACGAUGUCAACUAGCUGUUGGGGCCGUUAGGCCUUAGUAGCGCAGCUAACGCGUGAAGUUGACCGCCUGGGGAGUACGGUCGCAAGAUUAAAACUCAAAGGAAUUGACGGGGACCCGCACAAGCGGUGGAUGAUGUGGAUUAAUUCGAUGCAACGCGAAAAACCUUACCUACCCUUGACAUGUCUGGAAUGCCGAAGAGAUUUGGCAGUGCUCGCAAGAGAACCGGAACACAGGUGCUGCAUGGCUGUCGUCAGCUCGUGUCGUGAGAUGUUGGGUUAAGUCCCGCAACGAGCGCAACCCUUGUCAUUAGUUGCUACGCAAGAGCACUCUAAUGAGACUGCCGGUGACAAACCGGAGGAAGGUGGGGAUGACGUCAAGUCCUCAUGGCCCUUAUGGGUAGGGCUUCACACGUCAUACAAUGGUCGGGACAGAGGGUCGCCAACCCGCGAGGGGGAGCCAAUCUCAGAAACCCGAUCGUAGUCCGGAUCGCAGUCUGCAACUCGACUGCGUGAAGUCGGAAUCGCUAGUAAUCGCGGAUCAGAAUGUCGCGGUGAAUACGUUCCCGGGUCUUGUACACACCGCCCGUCACACCAUGGGAGUGGGUUUCACCAGAAGUAGGUAGCCUAACCGUAAGGAGGGCGCUUACCACGGUGGGAUUCAUGACUGGGGUGAAGUCGUA
rnacentral:rRNA from 1 species